rnacentral:rRNA from 1 species
GAUGAACGCUGGCGGCGUGCCUAAUACAUACAAGUCGAACGAAACUUCUUUAUCACCGAGUGCUUGCACUCACCGAUAAAGAGUUGAGUGGCGAACGGGUGAGUAACACGUGGGCAACCUGCCCAAAAGAGGGGGAUAACACUUGGAAACAGGUGCUAAUACCGCAUAACCAUAGUUACCGCAUGGUAACUAUGUAAAAGGUGGCUAUACUACCGCUUUUGGAUGGGCCCGCGGCGCAUUAGCUAGUUCGUAGGGUAAAGGCUUACCAAGGCAAUGAUGCGUAGCCGAAUUGAGAGGUUGAUCGGCCACAUUGGGACUGAGACACGGUCCAAACUCCUACGGGAGGCAGCAGUAGGGAAUCUUCCACAAUGGGCGAAAGCCUGAUGGAGCAACGCCGCGUGGGUGAAGAAGGUCUUCGGAUCGUAAAACCCUGUUGUUAGAGAAGAAAGUGCGUGAGAGUAACUGUUCACGUUUCGACGGUAUCUAACCGGAAAGCCACGGCUAACUACGUG